GGACGCAUAACUCAGUCUGGUUAGAGUAACCGGCUCAUAACCGGCUUGUCACUGGUUCGAAUCCAGUUGUGUCCA
rnacentral:tRNA from 1 species